ensembl:lncRNA
AGCUGGCUGCUUCUCAAAAGUGAAUGAAAAGCAGCAGAUCCCACUUCUAAGGAAAGGAUUUUCUCACUGCAGGUGCAGAUGCUGCGCUUCAGCCUUCCUGCCCAGAAAGGCUAUCUGUCUGAUCUGAAGAAGGAAAGAAGGCUGAAGAUUCAAGGCUGUUCUGUCACCUCAUCCUUCCAUCACCUGCAGUCAGUAAGGAUGAAGAGGAAUCCCAGAAUUGUAAUCCUUUACCUGAACCAUGAAAGCUUAACUAGUAGUAUAAAGGUCUCUCUACCACAGGAGCAUGAAGUGUGCUGGUUUAAGUGGAAUUGCCAAGUAUCUGCUAUUUUGCUUCAUACGAUCAGCACUGCUGGGUUUUAGUAUUGCCAUGCUUUGUCAGUGUUAAUGUAAUGGCAAAUGAUGAAGAUGGUCUUUGGCAGGAAACAUUGCUAGCCCUUAAUAAUAAACAAUUUCUGCACCUUAAAUUGCUGCUAUAC